UACAGAGGGUGCGAGCGUUGUCCGGAAUCACUGGGCGUAAAGGGCGCGUAGGUGGCGCCCCAAGUCCGUGGUGAAAGCUCGAUGCUCAACAUCGAGUCGGCCACGGAAACUGGGGGGCUCGAGCACUGUAGAGGCAGAUGGAAUUCCGGGUGUAGCGGUGGAAUGCGUAGAGAUCCGGAAGAACACCGGUGGCGAAGGCGGUCUGCUGGGCAGUAGCUGACACUGAGGCGCGACAGCGUGGGGAGCAACAGGG
rnacentral:rRNA from 1 species